rnacentral:rRNA from 1 species
GUACACGCUGUGACUAGCAUAUCAAUAAGCGGAGGAAAAGAAACUAACUAGGAUUCCCUCAGUAACGGCGAGUGAAGCGGGAAGAGCUCAAAUUUGAAAUCUUCAAGGUUCUACCUUGACGAAUUGUAGUUUAAAGAAGUGUUUUCUGUUGGAGUUUUGGUAAAAGUUCUUUGGAAUAGGACAUCAUAGAGGGUGAGAAUCCCGUAUUUGACCAUUAUUUCCAGCUUUGUGAUACACUUUCAAAGAGUCGGAUUGUUUGGGAAUGCAGUCCAAAAUGGGUGGUAAAUUUCAUCUAAAGCUAAAUACUGGCGAGAGACCGAUAGCGAACAAGUACCGUGAGGGAAAGAUGAAAAGAACUUUGAAAAGAGAGUUAAACAGUACGUGAAAUUGUCAAAAGGGAAGCGUUUGACACCAGUGUUGUUUUCUCGAAAAUCAAUUAAAAAAGGCAGGAUUUUGUGUUGUAUUGACUUUAUCAGCUUUCUGCACUCUUUUCUUGUCUUUUUUAAUGCACUUUUCGUUUAACAAGUCAACAUCAAUUUCUUUUGUUGUAAAAGGGUCAUUGGAAGGUGGCUUUCUUUUCGGAGAAAAGUGUUUAUAGCCUUUGGCCUCUGCAAUCGGAGAGAUUGAGGUCCGCAGCGUAGAUCCUUCGGGGUUAGAUACAUUUGUGCUAAGUUAUAGCCUUUCAUAGACAACUUGUUGACUAUGAUCAGUCAUGUAGCUUACUCGCUUAUGCUAUUUUACCUACGCUUAGGAUGUUGAAGACUCUACAGAGAUA